GCGCCCGUGGCUCAACUGGAUAGAGCAUCUGACUUCGGAUCAGAGGGUUGGGGGUUCGAGUCCCUCCGGGCGUG
rnacentral:tRNA from 2 species